CCUACGGGUGACAGCAGUGAGGAAUAUUGGUCAAUGGGCGCGAGCCUGACCCAGCCAAGUAGCGUGAAGGAUGACUGCCCUACGGGUGGUAAACUUCUUUUAUAAAGGAAUACAGUCAGGCACGUAUGCCUUUGUGAAUUUACUUUAUGAAUAAGGAUCGGCUCACUCCGGGCCAGCAGCCGCGGUAAUACGGUGGAUCCGAGCGUUACCCGGAUUUAUUGGGUUUAAAGGGAGCGUAGGUGGGUUGUUAAGUCAGGUGUGAAAGUUUGCGGCUCAACCGUAAAAUUGCAAUGGAUACUGGCAGCCAUGAGUACAGUUGAGGUAGGCGGAAUUCGUGGUGUAGCGGUGAAAUGCUUAGAUAUCACGAAGAACUCCGAUUGCGAAGGCAGCCUACUAAACUGCCACUGACAUUGAUGCUCGAAAGUGUGGGUAUCAAACAGGAUUAGAUACCCCAGUAGUC
rnacentral:rRNA from 1 species